rnacentral:rRNA from 1 species
GGUUGAUCCUGCCAGUAACAUAUGCUUGUCUCAAAGACUAAGCCAUGCAUGUCUAAGUAUAAACGACUUUAUACUGUGAAACUGCGUACAGCUCAUUAUAUCAGCAAUUAUUUAUUUGAUGGUUCCUUACUACAUGGAUAACCGUGGUAAUUCUAGAGCUAAUACAUGCGCAAAGUCCCGACUCUCGCGGGGAGGGAUGUAUUUAUUAGAUUCAAAACCAAUGCGGGCUCUGCCCGGUAUUGUGGUGAUUCAUAAUAACUGAUCGAAUCGCAUGGCUUCACGCUGGCGAUAGU